rnacentral:rRNA from 1 species
CCUACGGGAGGCAGCAGUGAGGAAUAUUGGUCAAUGGGCGCGAGCCUGAACCAGCCAAGUCGCGUGAGGGAAGACGGUCCUAUGGAUUGUAAACCUCUUUUGUCGGGGAGCAAAAGACGCCACGCGUGGCGUUCCGAGAGUACCCGAAGAAAAAGCAUCGGCUAACUCCGUGCCAGCAGCCGCGGUAAUACGGAGGAUGCGAGCGUUAUCCGGAUUUAUUGGGUUUAAAGGGUGCGCAGGCGGAAUUUCAAGUCAGCGGUAAAAUUGCGGGGCUCAACCCCGUCGUGCCGUUGAAACUGGCGGUCUUGAGUGAGCGAGAGGUAUGCGGAAUGCGUGGUGUAGCGGUGAAAUGCAUAGAUAUCACGCAGAACUCCGAUUGCGAAGGCAGCAUACCGGCGCUCAACUGACGCUCAUGCACGAAAGCGUGGGUAUCGAACAGGAUUAGAUACCCGUGUAGUC